CUGCUGCAGCCUCCUGAAGGGGUCAGCCUGGCCGUAGUAUCUGAGACUGGAUUCUUCUUUGCCUCCAAAGGAAUUCAAAAUCUGGAAGUCCAACUGCGUGCCGCCCCCAGAGACCUACACUGCUGAGAAGAAGCCGCCGCCGCCAGAGCUGGACAUGGCGAUAAAAUGGUCGAACAUCUAUGAAGACAAUGGUGAUGAUGCCCCACAGAAUGCUAAGAAAGCCAGGCUUCUGCCGGAAGGGGAGGAGACGGUGGAAUCAGACGAUGACAGAGACGAGCGUGCAUCCAAGACCCGCAGAGUGGAGCCGGGAGAGGCAGCCAAGAAGAAGAAGUAGAGACGGUGGCUCCUGGGAUGUGCCGUUGGGCGGAGUGUUUGCUCUUGUGCGUUACUAUGACAGACAUCUCCAUGAACGUUUUAUGUUGAUGAACUAACGAGUAUCGUCUCAAGACUUUCCACUGUAGAAUUCACUUUUUUAUUUAAAACCUGUAUGUAUUUACAACUCUAAUGGUGACCUGUGAUUGUGAACUGACAGUACUUGGAAGCAUUCUGGCUAUCACAAAAUUGGUGACAGGCUUUGAGAGUUUGUCACAUGGACAUGCCAAUGUUCUAUGAACCUUUUAUAAAGGAUUAUAUUUUUAAAGUAAAUAUAUUGUAUUGUACUGUGAACUUGUGGGUGCUUUUCAUUAGUGUCUGUACAGUGUAAAUAGAUGAUCAUGGAAAUAAAAUUACUUAACUCAG
rnacentral:lncRNA from 1 species